UACGGAGGGGGCUAGCGUUGUUCGGAAUUACUGGGCGUAAAGCGCACGUAGGCGGCUUUGUAAGUUAGAGGUGAAAGCCCAGGGCUUAACCCUGGAAUUGCCUUUAAGACUGCAUCGCUAGAAUCGUGGAGAGGUGAGUGGAAUUCCGAGUGUAGAGGUGAAAUUCGUAGAUAUUCGGAAGAACACCAGUGGCGAAGGCGACUCACUGGACACGGUAUUGACGCUGAGGCACGAAAGCGUGGGGAGCAAACAGG
rnacentral:rRNA from 1 species